AUGGUACACUCAGGUCGGCCACACCCCGAGAACCAGGUUCUCUGGGUUCUGCAAGCCCGUGUGGCCAACACAGCACUCUUCGACAUGCCUCAUCUGGGGGGCGAUGAAGAGACAGUCAUGGGGCGGCCAGGCCUCGACCAUGAUUCUGGCGACCAUCGAGGCCGUGCAGGAGCCACGGUGCUCUAUGGUCGUCCACGUCGCAACCCCGACACGCUCGGGGUCCAUUGA
rnacentral:rRNA from 1 species